GCCACAGUAGCACAGCCUCGCGCCGCCCUGUACCUGAGCCAUACUGUAUACCUCAACUGUGGCGCCAACACUCAGAUAGAACACCUUGUGGCCCCGGGGACUGAUGGUGUUGUGUUGUACCUCAGGAGAGCUGCCGUGUGAACUGUGUAUAGUGUUGGGAUGAUCGGUUCACUUAAAAUGGACUCGAUUUGUCCAGCUUUCAGUAUGGCUAGUACGUCCCUCAACUCGGUGUGACCUCCAUCAGCCAGCUCUUGACUGCGUUAUGCGCGAUGUGAAGUGUUGACGCAGAGUGUACGUGUGUGUUUGCUUGUCUUAGUGGAGUGAACACAUUGACUUGAAUCCUCUACCCAUUACAUAUACCUGCAUAUAUAUCUUAACAAACAUAAUAGAAAUAUAUAAACGACUGGAUGGGAUAGUUUUGUGAUUUUUUUUUUUUACUUGGGAAAAAACGAGGUAAAACAGAUUAUAACUGUUUGUGAAUUGUAUUAAAAAGACACUCGGCCAUUGUAAUUCUUUUUUCUUUUCUUUUUACAGUUAAAUGAAAGGCCACAACAUACAGUGACAGGAAAGUGAGGUGUUGGGGAAAAUUCAUGACAAGUCUGUAAACAUAUGAUCUGUCGGCUCUUAGUGACAAGAACAGUGCCAUCCUUUAGCGGCGAAAACAGUGCCAUCCUUUAGCGGCGAAAACAGUGCCUAUCCCUUUAGUAACACUGAAAAGAACAGUGAACAGUGACUAUCUGUUAGCGCAGUGACAAGAACAAUGAACAGUGUUUAUCUGUUAGCGCAGUGACAAGAACAAUGAACAGUAUCUAGCCGUUAGCGCAGUGAGAAAAAAACCCGGUAAACAGUACAUAUCCGUAAGCACAAGAGACGAGACUAGUGCCAUUAAUUUAGAUCAAUAAUAAAAAAAACACUCCCAUCCCUUAGUGCCAGUAACAGUGCCUAGCCGUGAUCACCAUAAAGGCUAACCAGCGCCUAUACCUAUCCAUUAGCUCCCAGUGACAACAUCAGCGUCACUCCUAAGUGUUAGUGACGUGAACAAUAUAAUUUGUUUUUUUUU